AGCAGGCACGGAAGCCCUCGUGGGAGCCGGGAGUUCCAUGGCGAGGCCCCCCGCUGCUGCCCCAAGAAACGCUUGGGUUUGAGAUCUCAGGAAACACGGAGAGCCCCCACUGCGAUGGUGACGGCCCUGGAGUGGGUGGUGCUAAGGAAAGGGCAGCACACCCUUGAGGGCGGGAAGUGAAUGGGUUGCCACAUUGUAAGAACACUCAAGAAGCCAUGCAGAGAGGGCCACAUGAUGAGGAAAUGAAGCCUUCUUCCAACAGCCGGCACCGACUUGCCAGCCAUGUGAGUGCACCAUUUUGGAAUCAAAUCUUCCACCUCUAAUUAGGCCUUCAGAUGGCUGCAGCCCUAGAUGACUUUUGACUACAAUUUCUUGAGACACCCUGAACCAGAACCACUCAGUUAAGCUGCUCCCAAUUUCCUGAUCCAUAGAAAUGGUGUAAGAUAAUAAAUGUUUAUCGUUGUUUUAAGCCACUAAAUUCAGAAGUAAUUUAUUCCAUAGGAACAGCUAAAAUAAAUACAGUAUAUCCAGA
rnacentral:lncRNA from 1 species